UGGCAGUGGUGAUGAUGACGACUUAAGUCUCUACCCCGAAAAAGUCAUGUGGGCCUUUUGUCACUACCUCAUCUGAACUUCCG